AAGGGUGAGUAAGGCGACGGUAACCAACCCCAGGAUUGGGUAUAGCCGCGGGAAACCGCGGGUAAUCCCCAGCGACGCAACGGCACCGGCAUCGGUGCCUUGCCAAAGCUUCGGCGUCGUGGGACGGGCUGUCGUGGUAUUAGCUUGUUGGCGGGGUAAUGGCCCACCAAGGCUCUGAUGCCUACCGGGCGUGCGAGCGUGGCCCGGCACACUGGGACUGAGACACUGCCCAGACUCCUACGGGAGGCUGCAGUCGAGAAUCUUCGGCAAUGGGCGCAAGCCUGACCGAGCGACGCCGCGUGGAGGAUGAAGGCCUUCGGGUUGUAAACUCCUGUCGAGGGGGAAAAAGGGUUGAAAGACCUUGAUUGAUCCCUGGAGGAAGCACGGGCUAAGUUCGUGCCAGCAGCCGCGGUAAGACGAACCGUGCGAACGUUAUUCGGAAUCAUUGGGCUUAAAGCGCGUGUAGGCGGAUUCGUGCGUCUGUCGCUGAAAUCCCCCGGCUCAACCGGGGAAGUGGCGUGGAUACGACGAGUCUGGAGGGGCAUAGGGGGACCUGGAACUUCCGGUGGAGCGGUGAAAUGCGUUGA
rnacentral:rRNA from 1 species